UUUCAUAACUGUUAUGGGGGAUGCCAUGGUUAAGAAGGUGGUUCACCCAGGAAGAGGCUUAGCCAUGGCCAUCUAUUUGUGCUGAUCCCUGCAAAUACCCCAUAUGUUGGAAUUUGGACUGCUUAAUAUCUGGUAGUAAGGUAUUGCCAUG
rnacentral:snRNA from 1 species